GACAGAGGGUGCAAACGUUGUUCGGAAUUACUGGGCGCAGAGCGCGUGUAGGCGGCAGCGUGUGUCGGGCGUGAAAUCCCAUGGCUCAACCAUGGAAGUGCACCCGAAACUGCGCAGCUAGAGUCCUGGAGAGGAAGGUGGAAUACUUGGUGUAGAGGUGAAAUUCGUAGAUAUCAAGUGGAACACCCGGUGGCGAAGGCGGCCUUCUGGACAGUGACUGACGCUGAGACGCGAAAGCGUGGGGAGCAAACAGG
rnacentral:rRNA from 1 species